GAUGAACGCUGGCGGCGUGCCUAAUACAUGCAAGUCGAGCGAACGGACGAGAAGCUUGCUUCUCUGAUGUUAGCGGCGGACGGGUGAGUAACACGUGGAUAACCUACCUAUAAGACUGGGAUAACUUCGGGAAACCGGAGCUAAUACCGGAUGAUAUUUUGAAUCGCAUGGUUCAAAAGUGAAAGACGGUCUUGCUGUCACUUAUAGAUGGAUCCGCGCUGCAUUAGCUAGUUGGUAAGGUAACGGCUUACCAAGGCAACGAUGCAUAGCCGACCUGAGAGGGUGAUCGGCCACGCUGGAACUGAGACACGGUCCAGACUCCUACGGGAGGCAGCAGUAGGGAAUCUUCCGCAAUGGGCGAAAGCCUGACGGAGCAACGCCGCGUGAGUGAUGAAGGUCUUCGGAUCGUAAAACUCUGUUAUUAGGGAAGAACAUAUGUGUAAGUAACUGUGCACAUCUUGACGGUACCUAAUCAGAAAGCCACGGCUAACUACGUG
rnacentral:rRNA from 1 species